AUGAUGGUUUUCAGGAGGUUCGUUCUUUAUACAGUUCUUGGUAAUGAAAAGGAUUCUAGUCAAGCUGAAGGAGGCGUUGGUUUGGUCAUCAGUGAUUCCUCUGAAGGCGGUUCCAAAGGGUCACUCGUUUCUUCUUCUGAAUGGACUGUAAAGGAUGUUGGCUCUGACUCCAUUGAUGCUAUUCAGCAUGCCUGUUUUUCCGGCUUGUUGAAGGUUGAAUUGAGCUGCAGCAGCGGACCUCUUGACAUAACAUAUGUAGUCUCACUUUAUCCUCUGAACAUGGCAACAGCAGUGAUAGUAAAGAAUAAUGGUCGAAAGGAUGUGACUCUAACUAGUGUUAUACUUCGUCAUCUCAAAUUCAUAAGGCGAGCAAAGGCAGGGAUCCAAGGACUCAGAAAAUGUUCUUACUGAACACGGCCUCCUUUAUCUUCACCGUUCGAAGUUUUAUCUGCGUCUGAAGUUAUGAAAGUAGAGUCUCCGAGAAUGUUUGAUUUUGAUUUCGAGCCUGAAGAGAAACCUGGGUUAUGGAAAGUGCAAGAUGAGCCCUUCACAAUUUUGAAGAAUAGGCUUGGUAGAGUUUAUGCUGCUCCACCAGAAGAGAGGUUGAAAGCAUUCUAUAACACCUCUCCUACAAAAUAUGAAGCGCUCGAUCAGGGAAAAGAGCUUAUCUUCAGGUGAUACAGAUCGGUUUCAAAGAUAAUUACAUUGGAAGCCCUGGCUCAUUUGCUGGUAAGUAUGGUAAGAACUAUUUUAUCUGCACUGGCCCCGCUGCAAUGCUGGUCCCUGUCGUCGUGAAAACUGGUGAAGAUUGGAAGGGAUAUUUUGUAAUUAAAGAUUUUGAUAUCAAAUUCAAAAUCAACAAUACAUUAGCUUGUUCAUUUUUCUUUCCCUUUCCCUUUCUCGUUUUCUUUUGGUAGCUGGUUUAGUUUGUUCUUGUCAAAAUCAUAUUACCAAACACCUGUUGGUACUUCAUAAUAAUUCCAGUCAAACACCUGCCUAGACAUAGGACAGGAGUGUUAGUGUCCU